AGGGAGAAUGCAAAAUUUUCACACACACAUUCCGUUAGUCACUCACGAAAAGAAAAGACGUGGAUAUUCUUUUUGGCAUUGUGAUAGAUAUUUUCCACAAGGAGGAAAAUUCUUUAUCAAAAAUACAAUCAACAAACGUUUGUUUAUAGUUUUCCCAUUCAUUUGUUUAUAAAAUUUAUCAGUGAAGCAAAGGAUAGUACAGAGUAAAAGAUAUUUUCCUGCCCUUCUAAAGGGGUGGUGAAAAGACUGUGUAAAAACUCCAGUUGGAAGUUGUAGGUGGUGGUGUAAAGUGGAAAAGCACUCCAUCGUGAUGUCACUGUUUCCCAGUUUAAAUUAAUUGCAACAUUUUUAAAGAGUGUGUCUUCAAGUAACAAUUUCAACACAUUUUGGAUAUUGUUAUUGCAGCGACCUAAUAAAUUGCUUGUGCACACAUUCAUCUACACACAAAGCUGUUUCUUUCCAUUUAAUAUUAAUUUAGCUUAGUGGAAGUGCUUUGUGGCGAUUCAAUUUAAUUUAAUAAUUCACUACAAUUUAUCAAUUAAGUUGCAAAUUAAAGUGAGAUCGAGCUGACAGCAAUUUUCAAUAUUCAUUCCGCAUCAGUAAUUUGCACAACGAUUAAAAAUUGUUAAGCGAGCAAAUAAUAGCAUAAAAUGAAACAAUAGAGAACAAAGCAAAACUCUAAAGAAAGAGCUUUGGUACAAGCGCUAUUAACAACGAAAGAGGAUUGAAACGUUGAGUCGAGCGUAGAAUUCCAAAAAUAAGCAUACAUACGUCCAGCACAGAAGUAUAUUAUGAGCGCAAAAUUAUAUCUUAGAAUUUUGUAAAACUUCAAACGACACAGCUGAAAAACGAGUUAGAAACACAAAACGUAACACAUUCACAUACACGUCCCUCCAAGAGCAACGAUUCGUAACGCUAUACAGGCGAUCACAGCACGAUUCCGCCCACAACAACCUGUCACGCCCACUGUUGAACAUAGAAUUGUAGCCUAGCCGCCGUUUUAAGAGAAAAACGGCCGCCGUCCACUACAGAGAAGCACAGAGAAAAGGCAUCAAACAGAUAUUGGAGUCAUAAAAUUCCCACCGUAACGACAUUCAAGCAUUCUCUAAAAUUCUCCCUCUCCGUCAUAUGUACGUGCAACAUAAAUACAAAAAAUUUUGGUCUUUUUUGUAUGUUACAUUCGACAUUAGUCCAUUUCUAUCCCAAAAUCAUCCUCCCCUCCCAAAAUAAACUGCCCGUCCAUUGAAACAAAAAACAAAAAAAAAAAAAGAAACAACAACUUACACAAACAUACAAAACGGCUGCAGCAUGUCUGAAUUGGAAAACGCCGCAACAGCCGGCAAAACUAUUGAGGAGCUGCGUAUGGAAGUUGAACGGCUGACGCGUGAACUAGAUCAGGCAGCAAGUGAGCGAGCACAAUCAGCACAAUAUGGUCUAUCAUUAUUGGAAGAGAAAUCGUCAUUGGAACAAAAGUGCGAGGAGUUGGAGACACUCUACGAUCAUGCAAAACAUGAGUUAGACAUUACACAGGAGGCUCUCGCAAAGUUUCACACUUCACAAAAAGUCACCACGAAAACGGGUAUCGAACAGGAAGAAUCCCUGCUCACGGAAACCGCAGAGCUCGAGACAACUUUGAAUAGUAAAAUUUUAGAUUUGGAAAAUGAGACAAAGCAAUUACGUCACGAAUUGGAACGAGUACGCAAUGAACGUGAUCGUAUGCUGCAAGAAAAUACCGACAUUGGACGCGACAAAUCAGACAAUGAAGCUGAGAAAUUACGUCUUAAGGCCGAGUUAAAGGAUUUGAAGUUUCGUGAGACACGCAUGCUAACGGAAUACACAGAAUUAGAGGAAGAAAACAUAUCGCUGCAAAAGCAGGUGUCGAGCUUAAGAAGUUCGCAGGUUGAAUUUGAAGGCGCCAAGCAUGAGAUACGUCGCCUUACCGAAGAGGUAGAGCUCUUAAAUUCACAAGUAGAUGAAUUGGCAAAUCUGAAGAAAAUCGCUGAAAAGCAAAUGGAAGAAGCUCUGGAGGCUUUACAGUGUGAGCGCGAGGCUAAAUAUGCACUCAAAAAAGAAUUGGAUGGCCAUUUAAAUCGCGAGUCCAUGUACAAGUUAAGCAAUUUAGCUUAUCUACGUAGUAAUAUGGAUGACAACAUAAGCGCAAAUAGUGAUGGCGAAGAGGAAAACUUGGCUUUGAAACGACUUGAAGCCGAUUUAACCACAGAAUUGAAUGCAACAGAUGGCACCAAAUGCGAUCUCUUCUCUGAGGUACAUUUGAAUGAGUUGAAAAAGUUGGAAAAACAAUUAGAAUCAAUUGAAAAUGAAAAGAUGUUACUCACCGCGAAUUUACGUGAAGCACAAACCAGUUUGGAUAAAUCACAAAAUGAAAUACAAAAUUUCAUGGCACGUCUAGCGUUGCUAACUGCACAUGUAGAUGCAUUGCUACAAUUAAAGAAACAGCUGGAUAUUAAAGAUGACUCCAUGGAGGCGGUAAAACGACGUAAUGAUGAACAAAAUGUACGACAGCAACUCUUGGAUAUACUAUCACAGUAUAACAGUUGGUUCACAUUAUCUUCCAAAGAGAUUGACGGUCUCAAGACUGAUUUGGUUGAACUGCAAAAGGGUUUCAACUAUACCGAUGCAAUGACAACACUACGUAAUGAGGUCACAAAUUUGAAAAAUAAAUUGCUCAGCACUGAGCAAAAGUCAUUGGAUCUGCAAAGUGAUGUGCAGACACUCACAAGUAUAUCACAAAGUGCCGGUCAAAGUUUGGGUUCGGCACGCUCCACUUUGGUGGCCUUGAGCGAUGACUUGGCACAGCUGUAUCAUUUAGUUUGCACCGUCAAUGGCGAAAUACCGACGCGUAUUAUGCUCGAUACAAAGAGCGAUGAUAUGAGCUUCGAAAACGAUUCGCUUACUGCCAUACAAUCGCAGUUUAAAUCUGACAUUUUUACUUCCCGCUCACAUACCAUUGAGGAUUUGCAAGGACUUGCCGAUUCUGUGGAAAUUAAAAAGUAUGUCGACACUGUGGGAGAUCAGAUUAAACACUUGAAAACCGCUGUAGAGCAUACAAUCGAGCAUAACAAGAAUAAAGUACGCGGCGACGUGUCUGAAGCUGACAAGUAUAAUCGUGAGGAAGUCGAGGAGUUACAAGAACAAAUUGUACGCCUUAAAGGCUUGUUAUCGCUCAAACGCGAUCAAAUCGCUACGUUACGUACUGUAUUGAAGUCCAACAAGCAGACCGCUGAGGUGGCGCUCACCAAUCUCAAAUCGAAAUAUGAAAAUGAGAAGACCGUGGUUAGCGAGACAAUGGCCAAGUUACGUAAUGAGUUGAAGAUACUCAAGGAAGAUGCUGCGACAUUCUCAAGCUUGCGCGCUAUGUUCGCUGCACGUUGCGAGGAGUAUGUUACACAGGUGGAUGAUUUGAAUCGCAAGCUAGAAGCUGCUGAAGAGGAAAAGAAGACACUUAAUCAGCUGUUGCGUUUAGCUGUACAGCAAAAAAUUGAAUUGACGCAACGCAUGGAGGAAAUGGAAAUUGAUCGGUGGGUGCCUAUGCGGCGUUAAGCUACCUACAUACCAAUAAUAUAUAAAAGCCUAGAUAAAAAAAAACAAAAAAAGUUAAAAUGAAUUCGCAGUUCUUCCCAGAAGCCAAUAUUUUUUUCAAUUUUGUCGUGAAGUUCGUUAUCUUAUGUUCAAACCUGCGCUCGCGUUCAAAAUUAGUGCUUAGUGCUUGCUGUAUACACAAAUAUCUUCUACUUACGAUAUAUAUAUAUUUGCUAAACGCAUAUUUUGUUUUACCGUACGUAUGUAUAUCCCGUUGUUAUCCUCUGCCCCGCCUACCAAAUUAAACAUUAAUUUCUCGCCUGUGUACGUUUAAGUUGUGCUCGUCUUUCGUUUAAAUUUGCCAACAACUAUAACAUUUAAGCCGCGUUUCCGAAUUGCGAAACACGUUUUGCGCGUCGUCCUUUACCACCACAACGUGGCAGCAGUGGCAAAUCGUUUUCAUCACGACCAUCGACACGUAACCC
rnacentral:misc_RNA from 1 species